GACGAACGCUGGCGGCGUGCUUAACACAUGCAAGUCGAACGGAAAGGCCCUGCUUUUGUGGGGUGCUCGAGUGGCGAACGGGUGAGUAACACGUGAGUAACCUGCCCUUGACUUUGGGAUAACUUCAGGAAACUGGGGCUAAUACCGGAUAGGAGCUCCUGCUGCAUGGUGGGGGUUGGAAAGUUUCGGCGGUUGGGGAUGGACUCGCGGCUUAUCAGCUUGUUGGUGGGGUAGUGGCUUACCAAGGCUUUGACGGGUAGCCGGCCUGAGAGGGUGACCGGCCACCUGGGGACUGAGAUACGGCCCAGACUCCUAUGGGAGGCAGCAGUGGGGAAUAUUGCACAAUGGGCGGAAGCCUGAUGCAGCAACGCCGCGUGCGGGAUGACGGCCUUCGGGUUGUAAACCGCUUUCGCCUGUGACGAAGCGUGAGUGACGGUAAUGGGUAAAGAAGCACCGGCUAACUACGUG
rnacentral:rRNA from 1 species